rnacentral:misc_RNA from 1 species
GAUGAAGAACGUAGUGAAAUGCGAUAACUAAUGUGAAUUGCAGAAUUCAGUGAAUCAUCGAGUCUUUGAACGCACAUUGCGCCCCCUGGUAUUCCGGGGGGCAUGCCUGUCCGAGCGUCAUUGCUGCCCUCAAGCACGGCUUGUGUGUUGGGCUCCGUCCCCCCGGGGACGGGCCCGAAAGGCAGCGGCGGCACCGAGUCCGGUCCUCGAGCGUAUGGGGCUUUGUCACCCGCUCUGUAGGCCCGGCCGGCGCCAGCCGACAACCCAUCAUCCUUUUCAGGUUGACCUCGGAUCAGGUAGGGAUACCCGCUGAACUUAAGCAUAUAAUAAGCGGAGGA